UACGUAGGUGGCAAGCGUUGUCCGGAUUUACUGGGCGUAAAGAGCGCGCAGGCGGUCGUUCAAGUCGCGUGUGAAAGCCCCCGGCUCAACUGGGGAGGGUCACGCGAUACUGUUCGACUCGAAGGCAGGAGAGGGAAGUGGAAUUCCCGGUGUAGUGGUGAAAUGCGUAGAUAUCGGGAGGAACACCAGUGGCGAAGGCGACUUCCUGGCCUGUUCUUGACGCUGAGGCGCGAAAGCUAGGGUAGCAAACGGG
rnacentral:rRNA from 1 species